rnacentral:rRNA from 1 species
UACGUAGGUGGCAAGCGUUGUCCGGAUUUACUGGGCGUAAAGAGCUCGUAGGCGGCUCAGUAAGUCAGGUGUGAAACCUCCAGGCUCAACCUGGAGACGCCACCUGAUACUGCUGUGGCUAGAGUCCGGUAGGGGAGCGUGGAAUUCCUGGUGUAGCGGUGAAAUGCGCAGAUAUCAGGAGGAACACCAGCGGCGAAGGCGGCGCUCUGGGCCGGAACUGACGCUGAGGAGCGAAAGCGUGGGUAGCAAACAGG